UGUGCAGGUAGGACUAGGGGGCUCGCCCUCCCCUGUACCCGAAAUGGGCGUAUGCGGGGGUCAGUAACCCUGUUAACGGAUCUGUAGAGUCCGUAGAUGGAGAUCGGUACCACUAUGACCCUCGCCCUGUGGGGCUGGCGAUGGUGGAGCUGCCUCUGGAGGGAGGCGGCUACCACCUUUGCAGGGGGAAAGUGGCCAGGCCCGGAAGGGAGCAACCUAACCCCUGGCGCCAGCGUUCACAGGUCAACGAGGUGAGGCUCGGUGCCGAUCCUCUGUCUACGGACUCUAUAGAUUCGUUAACAGGGGGCUGCACA
rnacentral:SRP_RNA from 1 species